rnacentral:rRNA from 1 species
AUUGAACGCUGGCGGCAUGCUUUACACAUGCAAGUCGAACGGCAGCGCGGGCUUCGGCCUGGCGGCGAGUGGCGAACGGGUGAGUAAUGCAUCGGAACGUGCCCAGCAGUGGGGGAUAGCCCGGCGAAAGCCGGAUUAAUACCGCAUACGACCUGAGGGUGAAAGCGGGGGACCGAAAGGCCUCGCGCUAUUGGAGCGGCCGAUGUCGGAUUAGCUAGUUGGUGGGGUAAAGGCUUACCAAGGCGACGAUCCGUAGCUGGUCUGAGAGGACGACCAGCCACACUGGGACUGGGACACGGCCCAGGCUCCUACGGGAGGCAGCAGUGGGGAAUUUUGGACAAUGGGGGCAACCCUGAUCCAGCCAUGCCGCGUGCGGGAAGAAGGCCUUCGGGUUGUAAACCGCUUUUGUUCGGGAAGAAAUCCUCUGGGCUAAUACCCCGGGGGGAUGACGGUACCGGAAGAAUAAGCACCGGCUAACUACGUG